rnacentral:ncRNA from 1 species
UAAGCCAGAAGAGGCGCGUCGUUCAGGUAAAGUGUCAGAGGAACCGGUAUCCGAUGAAGACACUCCAGGGGAUACGACGCCGAGGCAGUUCGCUAACCGGAUAAGCGCACCGUCGACCACAAGGGCUGAAUCCCUUGGGUUGUCACCCAUGUUAUCCACAGACAUAUUGUGGGAAUAAGAGUCUUUAAGUAGCAUUCGCGCAAACACGUUUGACGCAGCGACAAACUAGACUCUGGCAAGGUGGAGCGCUUCUGGGUGU